UGGGGAAUAUUGGACAAUGGGGGCAACCCUGAUCCAGCGAUGCCGCGUGUGCGAAGAAGGCCUGCGGGUUGUAAAGCACUUUAGUUGGGGAAGAAAGUUCAAGAAUCGAAUAGGUUUUUGAGUUGACGUUACCCAAAGAAUAAGCACCGGCUAACUCUGUGCCAGCAGCCGCGGUAAUACAGAGGGUGCGAGCGUUAAUCGGAAUUACUGGGCGUAAAGGGCGCGUAGGCGGUUGUAUAAGUUAGAUGUGAAAUCCCCGGGCUUAACCUGGGAACUGCAUUUAAUACUGUAUGACUAGAGUAGAGUAGAGGGAAGUGGAAUUUCCGGUGUAGCGGUGAAAUGCGUAGAUAUCGGAAAGAACACCAGUGGCGAAGGCGGCUUCCUGGACUCAUACUGACGU
rnacentral:rRNA from 1 species